AUUGAACGCUGGCGGCAGGCCUAACACAUGCAAGUCGAGCGGAUGAAGGGAGCUUGCUCCUGGAUUCAGCGGCGGACGGGUGAGUAAUGCCUAGGAAUCUGCCUGGUAGUGGGGGAUAACGUCCGGAAACGGGCGCUAAUACCGCAUACGUCCUGAGGGAGAAAGUGGGGGAUCCUCGGACCUCACGCUAUCAGAUGAGCCUAGGUCGGAUUAGCUAGUUGGUGGGGUAAAGGCCUACCAAGGCGACGAUCCGUAACUGGUCUGAGAGGAUGAUCAGUCACACUGGAACUGAGACACGGUCCAGACUCCUACGGGAGGCAGCAGUGGGGAAUAUUGGACAAUGGGCGAAAGCCUGAUCCAGCCAUGCCGCGUGUGUGAAGAAGGUCUUCGGAUUGUAAAGCACUUUAAGUUGGGAGGAAGGGCAGUAAGUUAAUACCUUGCCGUUUUGACGUUACCAACAGAAUAAGCACCGGCUAACUUCGUG
rnacentral:rRNA from 1 species